rnacentral:misc_RNA from 1 species
ACUUGACUCUAUUCAGGGCGGUGAUCCUACGAUCAGAGAUGGAAAAAGGUCAAUUAGCAGAGACAUAGUGAGAUUUUUGGAGUUCAUUGAUGGGCUUGCAGCUAAAAGGCAUGGAUAUUCAUAUGAACCUGCAAAAAAAGUGAGUUUUGUUAGGAACAGCUACAAAUCUAGGGCUUCGAAUGCCAGUAUUGGAUAUGGAGAUUUAAGUGGAUAUCAGAAGGAAAUAGUGGAGAAAUUGAGUGACAGAGUUGAGAAGAUUCGUGGAUUUUCUAGAGUUUGUGAUAAUGAUGAAGAAGAUGUGGAGCUUGAAGGUUUUCAGCAAUUCAUCAAUGACGAGGAAGAUGACUUUGUAAACCCUAAGUUUUGCCCUGAUGGAAAGCAUGGCGG